CACGUAGGCACCAAGCGUUGUCCGGAUUUAUUGGGCGUAAAGAGCUCGUAGGCGGUUCGGUAAGUCGGGUGUGAAAACUUUGGGCUCAACCCAAAGCCUGCACUCGAUACUGCUGUGACUUGAGUCCGGUAGGGGAGUGGGGAAUUCCUGGUGUAGCGGUGGAAUGCGCAGAUAUCAGGAGGAACACCGGUGGCGAAGGCGCCACUCUGGGCCGGUACUGACGCUGAGGAGCGAAAGGCGUGGGGAGCGAACAGG
rnacentral:rRNA from 1 species